UACGUAGGCAGCGAGCGUUGUUCGGAGUUACUGGGCGUAAAGGGUGUGUAGGCGGUUGUUUAAGUUUGGGGUGAAAUCUCCCGGCUCAACUGGGAGGGUGCGCCGAAUACUGAAUGACUAGAGUGCGGGAGAGGUGAGUGGAAUUCCUGGUGUAGCGGUGAAAUGCGUAGAUAUCAGGAGGAACACCGGUGGUGUAGACGGCUCACUGGACCGUAACUGACGCUGAGGCGCGAAAGCCAGGGGAGCAAACGGG
rnacentral:rRNA from 1 species